AUGCCGGAGGGGGUUAAUAAUACAACUAUUGUGCUCAUUCCCAAAGUGAAAAAUCCUCAGUCAAUUAAAGAUUUUCGGCCAAUUAGUCUAUGCAAUGUCAUAUAUAAAAUUAUAUCCAAGUGUCUUGUUAACAGACUGAGGCCGUUGUUGGAUGGUAUGAUCUCUCCUACCCAAAGUGCCUUCAUUCCUGGAAGAUUAAUUUCUGAUAAUGCUCUUAUA
rnacentral:rRNA from 1 species